GGAGGUCACAGCUCAGUGGCAGAGUGUGUGCUUAGCAUGCACAAGGUCCUGGGUUCAAUCCCCAGUAUCUCCA
rnacentral:tRNA from 1 species